GUUUUCCGCGCCUUCCGUUUUUCGAUCCGAUAGCGAACGCGUGCACUUUUCUCCUGGUAGGACGUCGCGAUCCGUUGGGUGUCGGUCUACGGCUCGCAGUGGAGCCCGGACACACGGCUUGCCGUCGCGUCCGGACCUGCGUGUCCCGGCUGACUCGCUCGACGGUAUAAGAAAGGUUUAAGGCCGCUCUUGGAGCGUUCGGCUCGUCGCAAGCGCGCCAGAUGUGUCGGCGAUCGGACCUAGUGCCGGUUCUGACCUCUGGUGACUGUUGGCGGCGAAGUUCUCGAACAGACCUUUGACCGAUCUGCGACGCUAUAGCUUUG
rnacentral:rRNA from 1 species